rnacentral:rRNA from 1 species
GAUGAACGCUGGCGGCGUGCCUAAUACAUGCAAGUCGAGCGGACGGACGAGAAGCUUGCUUCUCUGAUGUUAGCGGCGGACGGGUGAGUAACACGUGGAUAACCUACCUAUAAGACUGGGAUAACUUCGGGAAACCGGAGCUAAUACCGGAUAAUCUUUUGAACCGCAUGGUUCAAAAGUGAAAGACGGUCUUGCUGGCACUUAUAGAUGGAUCCGCGCUGCAUUAGCUAGUUGGUAAGGUAACGGCUUACCAAGGCAACGAUGCAUAGCCGACCUGAGAGGGUGAUCGGCCACACUGGAACGUAGACACGGUCCAGACUCCUACGGGAGGCAGCAGUAUGGAAUCUUCCGCAAUGGGCGAAAGCCUGACGGAGCAACGCCGCGUCAGUUAUGAAGGUCUUCGGAUCGUAAUACUCUGUUAUGAGUGAAGAACAUAUGUGUAAGUAACUGUGCACAUCUUGACGGUACCUAAUCAGAAAGCCACGGCUAACUACGUG